UCCGGCGAACCGAAACGGCAAAACCCCACCUAAAACCUCGCCAGCCGCCACCGCCGACGGCGACCAUGCGCCGUCAUCUCGACCUGCUCCCCCGCCUCCUCCUCCGUCGCCACGUCCACCGCCGCGCCAGGACCGGGGCCUCGCCGCCCCCGCCCCCGCCGCCGAACCCGCCGCGCCCGCCGCAGAAGCCCGAGCCCGUCACCAUCCACGGGGAGACGUGGCACGACAGCUACGCCUGGAUGGGCUCGCUCUCCGACGCCGCCGCCAUGCGCCACAUGGACGUCCACAUGGAGGCCGAGGAGAAGUACGCCGAGGCCUGCCUCGCCGCCGCCGGCGCUGACCGGCUCGCCCGCAAGCUCCAGCUCGAGAUGGCCUCCCGCCUUGCCUCCGACGCCUGCACGCCGCCCGCCCGCUGGGGCCCCUGGCUCUACUACCGCCGCGCGGACGAGGGCAAGCAGUACCCCGUGCUCUGCCGCCGCUCCGCGGCUCUCCAUGGGGAGUUCGUCUCGUACAGCGACCCCUCCGCGGGGUUCGACUUCACCGCCGGGAAGCGCAUCGAACAGAAAUUGGUGGAUUACAACAAGGAGGCUGAGCGAUUCGGAGGAUACUCAUACGAGGAGCUAUCUGAAGUUUCUCCAGAUCACCGCUUCAUUGCGUACACCAUGUAUGACAAAGAUAAGGAUUCCUUCACUUUACUGGUCAGGGAUCUGGUGACGGGCACACUAUGCGAUAAACCUCGUGCUGAUCGGGUCUCAAAUAUUUCAUGGGCCAUGGAUGGGAAAGCACUGGUUUAUAUUGUUACGAAUGAGGACAGAAGGCCAUAUAGGCUGUUUUGCAGCAUUAUUGGAUCAAAUAAGGAUGAUAUUCUUAUAUUGGAAGAACCUGAUGAGAAUAUUUAUUUGAACAUCAGACAUACCAAGGAUUUUCGGUUUAUAACGUUAAAUGUCUUUUCAGACACGCACUCAAAGGUAUAUUUGAUAAGGGCUUCUGACCCCUUGUCCAGAAUGACACUGGUAUGGGAAGGUGAAUCCCAAGUUCAUUGCAUUGUGGAGCACCAUCAUGGACGCCUGUAUUUAUUCACAGAUGUUGCAAGAGAAGGUGUCCAUGUUAAUUCACAUUACCUAAUGCAGUGUGAUGUGGAAUCUCCUGGGCCAAAGAGUUGGAAGAAUGUUUUCCUUGAGGAACCAGGUAUUAUUCUGGAAGAUGUUGACUUUUGCAAUACUCAUAUGGUGCUUAUGCUGAGACAAGGCAGAAAACUCAGACUUUGUUCAGUUAAUCUGCCUCUACCUGAAAAUAUCCAAGUACCUGCUCAUCUAUCAGAUUUUCAACCACUUGACUUGCCUCUUCCCGAUCACGUGUGUCAGAUUUUAUCUGGCCCAAAUUAUGACUACUAUUCCUCAACAAUGCGUUUCACAAUAUCAUCACCUGUGAUGCCAGAUGCAGUUGUUGAUUACAACUUACUAAAUGCAAAGUGGCAAAUAGUGCAACAGCAAAACAUGCUUCAUGAGAGAACAAAGGUACUGUAUGGGAAUGCUUUUGCUUCUAGUGCGGGCAAGCUGUCUUCAGAUGGAGUUGAUUUGUCAAGUGAAGAUUUGGGAGAUCGUGACUGGAAUGAACUCUCUGAAUACUAUGCAUGUGAGUACUAUGAUGUUCCAUCGAAAGACGGAAUUUUGAUUCCACUCACCUUGGUAUAUUCACGAAAGCACAAGCAAGAGGGGAAUCCAGGAUUGCUUCAUGGGCAUGGUGCCUAUGGUGAGAUUCUGGAUAAGCGUUGGCGUAGCGAGUUAAAGAGCCUACUCGAUCGUGGUUGGGUGAUUGCAUAUGCUGAUGUUAGGGGUGGUGGAGGUUAUGGCAAGGAGUGGCACCGGGAUGGUGCACGUACCAAAAAGAUGAAUUCUAUAUAUGAUUUUGUGUCUUGUGGUGAAUUUCUUCUUGAAAAAGGUAUCAUACAAGAAAAUAAGCUUGCUGGAUGGGGAUACAGUGCUGGAGGACUUCUGGUGGCUUCGGCAAUUAAUACUCGUCCAGAUUUGUUCCGUGCCGCUGUUUUAAAGGUCCCUUUCUUGGAUGUUUGCAACACUCUGCUCCAUCCUAUUCUACCUCUUACAGCCAUUGAUUAUGAAGAGUUUGGAUUUCCUGUGGACCAUGAAGAAUGCCUUGCAAUCAAGAAGUAUUCUCCCUAUGAUAACAUCCAGAAGGAUGUUCCUUAUCCAGCUGUGUUUGUGACAUCAUCAUUUAAUACAAGGUUUGGUGUAUGGGAAGCAGCUAAAUGGGUUGCAAAAGUCCGUGAACUUACUCAAUAUGAUCCAGAGCGGCCUGUAAUUCUCAACUUGACAACAGAUGUUGUGGAAGAAAGUAAGUAUUUGGAAACCAAGGAAUUAGCAACGGAGACUGCUUUCCUAAUUAAAAUGGUGAACAAUACCUGAACAACAUGGUUUGCCUUUCGGCUUCCGAAAUUGUUUCUCAAACUCAAUGAUGAGGCCCAUGUGGGACAUGUGCUAAUCCUCCAUGUUCAACGGGAUCUGAGGAUUAGUCCAUUUGUUGGAGCUUAUACGAGAGGGAGUAUGAGAUAGCUGCCCACUGAAGCUAUCUUAAAUGGCCUGAUCUCUUUGCCACCACCGACCUGGUCUCGCAUGGUUCUACCAACUGUAUGAUGUUACAGUUGGAUCAUCUCAACUGAACUAUAUCAGCGAAACAAGUUUGUUAUCUUUCCCCUUCUCAAUCAUGGAAUUGACAUCAUAUGUCAUGAAUUAGAGGUGGAAUACGCCGUCAUCUACUCAUUGGCACAUCAAGUAAAAUUUGACCAAGGUACUUAUAUUGUACAUGGAAAGCUGAUGCUAUACUAAACCUGGUGCUAGGUACUGCAAGCUCGAUUAUUCAUGGCCUUGGAGAUGUACUGCUGCUGUAUAGUAGACAUGCCCUAGGACGGUGAGACCAGAACAUACAUGUCUUAGCAGCGGAAGCGCCAAAUCAUUCUUUCAUCCUUACACUGAAAUUCAAAUUCUCGCAGCUUAUGAACGCGUGUAGCAAAGUAAGGAAUGAACAAAGUGAACUUGGCUUGAUAAUCAAGGAGGGUGGAACAGUUGGAUGGACAUGAAUACCUUAAAGUUUUUGUCGAUGUGGGAGCUUCUACCGAUGCGAAGCUGGAAAGAUGUCACAGGCAUGAAGUACUGCACAUGGGGAUUCAGUUGGAGUAGCUUAUUUGCACUGGUGAUCUUGUUUCACUGCACAAACAGAACUUCCAUCCCGUGCAAUUCGGAUUAGCCGCGGUUAGCAUCAUGGUCUUGCACAUUACUCUGGUCGACACCCUGCAGGCUGGAUGGCAAAUGUACAUUUGUUCGCACAGUACCAUUCAGAACAGGACAAGACAGCUGCAGUUCAGGAGUUGUGAUGUGAACGAUGCGUCUUCGAUUUCUGUUUUCUGGCAAUCGGUACGUUGCCUUCUGAUAAGGUCAACGCCCAGCACGGCGUGCAGUCACCGUGUAGCAUCAUUGUCACUAUUACAUUGGGAGAGUUACCAGUGGCAACGGGAGAUGUUGUGGUUCCCCUUUUAUUUAUUUCAAAUUUGGUAAAAUUGAAAUGGCUGUAUAAACCAACUUGCUGUCCUAUCCUUUCUUAACAUGGGUAAUGUGUGGAAGUGACUGUUUAA